CCUACGGGAGGCAGCAGUAAGGAAUAUUGGACAAUGCUCGCAAGAGUGAUCCAGCCAUGCCGCGUGCAGGAAGAAUGCCCUAUGGGUAGUAAACUGCUUUUGAACUAGAGAAAACCCCAGUACGUGUACUGGGCUGAUAGUAUAGUUAGAAUAAGCAUCGGCUAACUUCGUGCCAGCAGCCGCGGUAAGACGAAGGAUGCAAGCGUUAUCCGGAUUCAUUGGGUUUAAAGGGAGCGUAGGUGGACUGAUAAGUCAGUGGUGAAAUCUCCGAGCUUAACUCGGAAAUUGCCAUUGAUACUGUUGGUCUUGAGUACAGUUGCUGUGGGCGGAAUAUGACAUGUAGUGGUGAAAUACAUAGAGAUGUCAUAGAACACCGAUUGCGAAGGCAGCUCACAAAGCUGUAACUGACACUGAGGCUCGAAAGUGCGGGGAUCAAACAGGAUUAGAUACCCUGGUAGUCCGCACCGUAAACGAUGAUUACUCGCUGCUAGGGGGCAACCUUUAGUGGCUUAGCGAAAGCGAUAAGUAAUCCACCUGGGGAGUACGCCGGCACGGUGAAACUCAAAGGAAUUGACGG
rnacentral:rRNA from 1 species